CCAAACACAUAUUUAUCAAUUAAUGGUUUUCCAUACGAGUCUCAUCGUGUGGACACCCGAUCUGCCCGACGGUAUUGCGGCAGUGAAAUCACCCGAACUCUCAACUUUCUUUGCGAGAGUUAUAAUAAAAGGAGUUCAAUCAAUAAAGUGAUUAACGAUCAAGACUUGGAAACCAAUUCAGUAGAAGAGACUAACGAUACACCAAAAUAUUCAUUAGCUUUGGUUCAGUUACUCAGAAACAACAAUGAUUUAAGACAUUUCAGACGACAAAUUCGUGGUGUUGUCGAUGACUGUUGUAAGAGAUCGUGUACUACAACUCAAUUGUCUCAAUAUUGUGAUGUCGUCAGACUCGCCACCACCACAACUACCAGUCCUAGUG